UGUUUUGUGAAUUGAGCUUAGGACUGUCCUUGUAAUUAGAAAUCUGGUUACUUGGGUUCUAAGCUUAGAGUUUCUUAGUUUUAAGAACACAUCACCUCAUAAUUGUACCAUGAUUAUGUGAUGAAUUUCUGGAGAUCUUAGACAGAAGUGUUCCCAACUUCAUAAAGUUGCCAGAUUUGCUGAAUAGAUAUUUGUGUGUAAAGGACUCAAAAAUACUAGGAAUAUAUAGCAGUAGGAUACACUACUUGGCCUAAGAAACAUGCAGUCUGUUUUGUAAAGCAGAACACAGGCACAUGAAUUGGCACAGGAAUGGCAUUUGCCAUCCUUUUAGACAGAUAUGGUAGCAGUAUACCAUAUGAAUAUCAAAAGAGCACAGAAUAAAUAAGGGACCAUGGUUUUCAAUAAAAGGACGUUGAUUUUCAAGACCUGUACAAUUGACUCCGAGAGAUUUAAAGCUAGGGUCAGUCUUUGGAUGGAGGAUAUGGAGGCAUUGCAGGUGUGUUAAUAGGCAAUUUAAAUAUGCUGCUUAUCAGUCAGUAAAAAAAAGUUCAGAAUUUA
rnacentral:lncRNA from 1 species